rnacentral:lncRNA from 1 species
CAACUCCCUGCACCCACUAAUCCCCCUUUCAUAGAUGAAAAAACCAUGGAACUCAAUGACACAUGCGAGGACCCAUGGUACCCUCUCAACGCUGGCCUUUCAGCAUCAAUUGCAACUAUCACCCAUAGUUCCUUCCAUCCAAGAUGACCUGAAGAGCAACAAACAAUUGCAUUUAAAACGUCAAGAGAAAAAUGAAAGAAGAUAAAUAUCCCAGUCGGUAAGUACGUUACCUCAUCAAAGCAUAUCUUGCAAGCAUUUUGAGGAAGCUGAUGGGGAUAUGUGAGAAGUUGGCAAUAAAUGCAGAUCGGCGUCCAAUGACUUGUAGAUAUAAAGUAGAGGAUACUUGCCAAUGUUCAAAUAUUUAUCAUGAAAUUAGAGA